UGGGGAAUAUUGGACAAUGGGGGCAACCCUGAUCCAGCCAUGCCGCGUGAGUGAUGAAGGCCUUAGGGUUGUAAAGCUCUUUCACCGGUGACGAUGAUGACGGUAGCCGGAGAAGAAGCCCCGGCUAACUCCGUGCCAGCAGCGGCGGUAAUACGGAGGGGGCGAGCGUUGUUCGGAAUGACUGGGCGUAAAGGGCGCGUAGGCGGUCUGUUGCGUCAGGCGUGAAAGCCCUGGGCUCAACCUGGGAACUGCGCUUGAUACGGGCGGACUUGAAGCCGGCAGAGGGUGGUGGAAUUCCCAGUGUAGAGGUGAAAUUCGUAGAUAUUGGGAAGAACACCGAAGGCGAAGGCAGCCACCUGGGCCGGUCUUGACGCUGAGGCGCGAAAGCGUGGGGAGCAAACAGGAUUAGAUACCCCCGUAGUCC
rnacentral:rRNA from 1 species